CCUACGGGAGGCAGCAGUGAGGAAUAUUGGUCAAUGGACGAGAGUCUGAACCAGCCAAGUAGCGUGAAGGGUGACUGCCCUAUGGGUUGUAAACUUCUUUUAUAUGGGAAUAAAAUGUUCCACGUGUGGGAUUUUGUAUGUACCAUAUGAAUAAGGAUCGGCUAACUCCGUGCCAGCAGCCGCGGUAAUACGGAGGAUCCGAGCGUUAUCCGGAUUUAUUGGGUUUAAAGGGAGCGUAGGUGGAUUGUUAAGUCAGUUGUGAAAGUUUGCGGCUCAACCGUAAAAUUGCAGUUGAAACUGGCAGUCUUGAGUACAGUAGAGGUGGGCGGAAUUCGUGGUGUAGCGGUGAAAUGCUUAGAUAUCACGAAGAACUCCGAUUGCGAAGGCAGUUCACUGGACUGCAACUGACACUGAGGCUCGAAAGUGUGGGUAUCAAACAGGAUUAGAUACCCCUGUGUC
rnacentral:rRNA from 1 species